CAAUGUUUGAUUUUCUGCCUUGGAUCACAGUGACACUGGUGUUCACUAGAUCAGUAACUCAGGGAGAAACGUGGAAGUCUGCGUCCUGUAAUCCCAGCACUUUGGGAGGCCAGGGUAGGUGGAUCAUGAGGUUAGGAGUUUGAGACCAGCCUGGCCAAGAUGGUGAAAACCCAUCUCUACUAAAAAUACAAAAAUUAGCAGGGUGUGGUGGCACACGCCUGUAAUCCCAGCUACUUGGGAGGCUGAGGCAGGAGAAUCGUUUGAACCCGGGAGGCGGAGGUUGCAGUGAGCCGAGAUCGUGUCAUUGCACUCCAGCCUGGGCGACAGGAUGAGACUCCAUCUCAAAAAAUAAUAAUAAUAAUGUUAAUAAUAAAAAAUAAUCUAUUGUUGAAUGUUUAACAUUGUUUCAAAUUUCUCACUUGGAAUGUUUCAUUCAUGAGUAUCUUCAUAUUAAUAAAUGUAUCUAAUAAACAUUCAUUUUGUGACCAUUGUGGACUACUAUUCUCAACAGUGGUGAUAUAGCAGUGAAAACAAAAUUUUUAACAACAACAAAAAAACUCUGCUCUUAUGGUAUUUUUAUUCUAGUGAGGGAGAUAAGAUAAACGUGUAAUAGUUGUUGAAUAUUAUCUAGUGAUAAGUGCUAGGAAGGAAAAGCA
rnacentral:lncRNA from 1 species